AGCGAACGUUUGCGGCGGGCUUAACACAUGCAAGUCGAACGGGCUGUUCCCUCGGGGGCAGUCAGUGGCGCACGGGUGCGUAACACGUAGGUAAUCAACCCUCUGGUUGGGGAUAACACUUCGAAAGGAGUGCUAAUACCCGGUAUGGCGCAGCGGUCUUCGGAUCGCGGCGAGAAAGACCCGCAAGGGUUGCCAGAGGACGAGCCUGCGGCCCAUCAGCUAGUUGGCGAGGUAACGGCUCACCAAGGCGAAGACGGGUAGCUGGUCUGAGAGGAUGAUCAGCCACACUGGAACUGAGACACGGUCCAGACUCCUACGGGAGGCAGCAGUGGGGAAUAUUGCGCAAUGGGCGAAAGCCUGACGCAGCCACGCCGCGUGAGCGAUGAAGGCC
rnacentral:rRNA from 1 species